ACUGUCUACCUGAGACUGUCCCUUGGCCCGCGGGUCUGACACAAGGUUAGAAUCUGAGCUCUUCCAGAGUGGUAUCUCACUGAUGGCUCGGGCCCCGCCGGAAGGGGGCCUUGCCUG